AGUGAACGCUGGCGGUAGGCCUAACACAUGCCAGUCGAACGGCAGCACAGUAAGAGCUUGCUCUAACGGGUGGCGAGACGCGGACGGGUCAGGAAUACAUCGGACUCUACUUUCUCGUGUGGGAUAACGUAGGUAAACUUACGCUAAUACCGCAUACUACCUACGGGUGAAAGCAGGGGAUCUUCUGACCUUGCGCGAUUGAAUGAGCCGUUGUCGGAUUACCUAGUUGGCGGGGUAAAGGCCCACCAAGGCGAGGAUGCGUAGCUGGUCUGAGAGGAUGGUCCGCCACUGUGGAGCUGAGACGCGACCCAGGCACCUAGGGGCGGCAGCGGUGGGGAAUAUUGGACAAUGGGCGGAAGCCUGAACCUGCCAUACCGCGUGGGUGAAGAGGGCCUUCGGGUUGUAAAGCCCUUUUGUUGGGAAAGAAAAGCAGCAGGUUAAAACCCCGCUGCUCUGACGGUACCCAAAGAAUAGGCACCGGCUACCUUCGU
rnacentral:rRNA from 1 species